rnacentral:rRNA from 1 species
UACGGGGGGGGCAAGCGUUGUUCGGAAUUACUGGGCGUAAAGGGCUCGUAGGCGGCCCUCUCAGUCGGAUGUGAAAUCCCCAGGCUUAACCUGGGAACGGCAUCCGAUACUGGAGGGCUUGAAUUCGGGAGAGGGAUGCAGAAUUCCAGGUGUAGCGGUGAAAUGCGUAGAUAUCUGGAGGAAUACCGGUGGCGAAGGCGGCAUUCUGGACCGACAUUGACGCUGAGGAGCGAAAGCCAGGGGAGCAAACGGG